rnacentral:rRNA from 1 species
CCUACGGGAGACAGCAGUGAGGAAUAUUGGUCAAUGGACGCAAGUCUGAACCAGCCAUGCCGCGUGCAGGAAGACGGCUCUAUGAGUUGUAAACUGCUUUUGUACGAGGGUAAAUCCCGAUACGUGUAUCGGGUUGCAAGUAUCGUACGAAUAAGGAUCGGCUAACUCCGUGCCAGCAGCCGCGGUAAUACGGAGGAUUCAAGCGUUAUCCGGAUUUAUUGGGUUGAAAGGGUGCGUAGGCGGUUCGAUAAGUUAGAGGUGAAAUCCCGGGGCUCAACUCCGGCACUGCCUCUGAUACUGUCGGGCUAGAGUUUAGUUGCGGUAGGCGGAAUGUAUGGUGUAGCGGUGAAAUGCAUAGAGAUCAUACAGAACACCGAUGGCGAAGGCAGCUUACCAAACUACGACUGACGUUGAGGCACGAAAGCGUGGGGAGCAAACAGGAUUAGAUACCCCAGUAGUC